rnacentral:rRNA from 1 species
GGGGAUCGGCCGGCGGGCUACACAUGCAAGUCGAACGGUAGCACAGAGAGCUUGCUCUCGGGUGACGAGUGGCGGACGGGUGAGUAAUGUCUGGGAAACUGCCUGAUGGAGGGGGAUAACUACUGGAAACGGUAGCUAAUACCGCAUAACGUCGCAAGACCAAAGAGGGGGACCUUCGGGCCUCUUGCCAUCAGAUGUGCCCAGAUGGGAUUAGCUAGUAGGUGGGGUAACGGCUCACCUAGGCGACGAUCCCUAGCUGGUCUGAGAGGAUGACCAGCCACACUGGAACUGAGACACGGUCCAGACUCCUACGGGAGGCAGCAGUGGGGAAUAUUGCACAAUGGGCGCAAGCCUGAUGCAGCCAUGCCGCGUGUAUGAAGAAGGCCUUCGGGUUGUAAAGUACUUUCAGCGGGGAGGAAGGCGAUAAGGUUAAUAACCUUGUUGAUUGACGUUACCCGCAGAAGAAGCACCGGCUAACUCCGUGCCAGCAGCCGCGGUAAUACGGAGGGUGCAAGCGUUAAUCGGAAUUACUGGGCGUAAAGCGCACGCAGGCGGGUCUGUCAAGUCGGAUGUGAAAUCCCCCGGGCUCAAACCUGGGAAAC